rnacentral:lncRNA from 1 species
CCGCCGCAGAUGAUCUGAAAAACAAACAAGCUGGGCCCGUAUUCAUAAAGAUUCUAACAGUCCUCUCAGAAAACUCUUAAUUUAGCUUAAAAACUUUUACGUAGGAGUCUUAGCUUAAGAGCGAUUCAGGACCAAUCUGAGAGCAACUCUGAAUAAGGAAAAGACAAAAACUUUCAUCUUAGUGAGGAGGCGGGGUUGACCCUGUUGCUAUGUAUGACACAAUCUUUUGAAGACUGAUUGGUUGGUUGUCCAAGAAGGAAAAAAAGAGUCAUAUUAAGUAUAGGGUCUAUUCUAAUUCUCACUUUGAAUUUACAUGCGUAUUUUUUCCUAUUUGACCAUUCUCUCUCACACAAACACAUUAUAUGUGUGUAUAUAAAUCCUUUUUUUUAUUUACUAUGCUUGUAAUUUCCUAUAAGGUAUUUGAUUGGCUUAGAAUGAUAAAAAUUGUUCCAGUCUUUCCAAUUACAGUGAUUGCUGUCCUAUUUAAGUGGCGGUUUGAAUGUUGGUUUUUAAUGUAUCAAACAUGGAAUCAAAACCAAGAAGGGCGAGAAAGCCAAACUGGACAGAGGAACAGUGUUUACUGUUAGCCCAGUUAGUGGAUGAACACAAGGCCAUUCUUAAAGGAAAAUUUGGGCCGGGUGUCACAGCAAGGGACAAGAAGCAGACAUGGGAGCGUGUAGCACAAACUAUUAACGGUUCAUUCCCCCUGCCUGUGUGCACCAGUGAAGACUGCGAGAAACGCUGGUAUGUGUUGCAAUAAAAAGCCAGAGAGGAAAUUGCAGCACACAAGCGGGAGUCAUCACGCACAGGGGGGGUUACCAGCUAAACAGCUGUCCCAAGUAGCCAAAACCGUGUUCAACAUCUUAGGUCACUCAGAAACAAGUAUUACCGGUUUGAAGGAGGGCACAGACAGCUCAAUGAUUCAGCUGGAGGAACUACAAAAAUGUAGCACAGAGUCUUCAGCAGAGGAAUGGGGACCGUUGACAUCACAGAUGCGCACCCUCAGCCCGAAGCGCCUCAUUCCCUGCCUUCUGCUCCCACCGCAGCUGCUCCAACACCAUCCCUAGUAGACAAAAAAACUGGAGAUGGAGAUUGAUGUCCUAAAGCAGCAGAAAAUAGUACUCCAUCUACAAGAGGAGUACUACAAGCUAAAAAUUGAGCUACUCAAAAAUAAAACUAAUAACGAAUAAUGUU